rnacentral:rRNA from 1 species
GAGUUUGAUCGUGGCUCAGAUUGAACGCUGGCGGCAUGCCUUACACAUGCAAGUCGAACGGCAGCACGGGAGCUUGCUCCUGGUGGGCGAGUGGCGAACGGGUGAGUAAUGCAUCGGAACGUAUCCUGGAGUGGGGGAUAACGUAGCGAAAGUUACGCUAAUACCGCAUAUUCUGUGAGCAGGAAAGCGGGGGACCUUCGGGCCGUCGCGCUCUUGGAGCGGCCGAUGUCGGGAGUUAGCUAGUUGGUGAGGUAAAGGACGUCACCAAGGCGACGAUCCGUAGCAGGUCUGAGAGGAUGAUCUGCCACACUGGAACUGAGACACGGUCCA